rnacentral:rRNA from 1 species
GAGCGGAAAGGCCCUUUCGGGGGUACUCGAGCGGCGAACGGGUGAGUAACACGUGAGUAAUCUGCCCUGCGCUCUGGGAUAGCCACCGGAAACGGUGAUUAAUACCGGAUAGGACCACUUCACGCAUGUGAUGGUGGUGGAAAGUUUUUUCGGCGCAGGAUGUGCUCGCGGCCUAUCAGCUUGUUGGUGAGGUAACGGCUCACCAAGGCUUUGACGGGUAACCGGCCUGAGAGGGUGACCGGUCACACUGGGACUGAGACACGGCCCAGACUCCUACGGGAGGCAGCAGUGGGGAAUAUUGGACAAUGGGCGGAAGCCUGAUCCAGCAACGCCGCGUGAGGGAUGACGGCCUUCGGGUUGUAAACCUCUUUCAGUACCGACGAAGCGAAAGUGACGGUAGGUACAGAAGAAGGACCGGCCAACUACGUGCCAGCAGCCGCGGUAAUACGUAGGGUCCGAGCGUUGUCCGGAAUUAUUGGGCGUAAAGGGCUCGUAGGCGGUUUGUCGCGUCGGGAGUGAAAACACCGGGCUUAACUCGGUGCUUGCUUUCGAUACGGGCAGACUAGAGGUAUGCAGGGGAGAAUGGAAUUCCUGGUGUAGCGGUGAAAUGCGCAGAUAUCAGGAGGAACACCGGUGGCGAAGGCGGUUCUCUGGGCAUUACCUGACGCUGAGGAGCGAAAGUGUGGGGAGCGAACAGGAUUAGAUACCCUGGUAGUCCACACCGUAAACGUUGGGCGCUAGGUGUGGGGCCUAUUCCAUGGGUUCCGUGCCGUAGCUAAC